UGCCUAAACCUACCAGCAAUGGUGGGCAUGGCAGACAAGACCUUUCGAACCAGUAAGCUCUUCCCAGAGCGUUCGAAAGGCUAUCGUGCGAAAGUGCGGUAGGCGGAGUAAUCCGUC
rnacentral:sRNA from 12 species